AAAGUUCAAGUGAAAAAAACAAUGAAGAAGAAAAGAACUAGCAAAGGUCCAUGCCCCCAAAAAAUAGAAGAUGUGACAACUUGUUUUGAAAAAUAAAAGACAAAAGGAAAAAAAAAGACAAAGAAAAAGAAAGAAAGAUGGAAAAAUAGUUAAGUCAGAUGUUUGAACUACGUUCGACCCUUAAAAAAGGAUACGUAGGCAGCUUCACAGUUUGGUCCAACCAAAUAAGAAUUCAAAAAAAAAAUCCAAAAAAUCCCCAUUAGCUGAAACUGGGGCAAAGAUUAUAUUUCAAGUUUGAAAGAGUCGAUUCCAAGAGUUGUAAGUCAACAACUCCCUUAGUUUGAGUCCACUUUGAGCCUUAUGCCUUCCUUUCUUUUCAACCCUAUCCAAAUACUUCAAAAAAAAGACCUCCCGAUAUGCCUUCAAGAAUGCCAAGAGAAGCAUGCAAUGAGCAACGGUUGUCACGCGACAUAGAACACUGUCAUGUUGCUCACAGAAAGAAAAGAAGGGGAAAGAAAAAAGAAAAAAGAAAAAGAAAAAUGAGAUUCUUACUAGUGCAAACCCUCGCGGGCACUGUAAGGCGAUGGUAAACAGAGAUGAAUAAAUGAGAGAGACUUGCUGGUGAAAAUCCCUCGGGGUACCACUAGUCGAAAGUGAGUUGUGAAGCUGAUGCAAAGGAUUGGCACGAACAAGCCCGACUUCAAAGGUCAUAAGAAUGGUAAAAGGGAAGAUUGGAUCAGUUUAAUAGAUCAGGCCCUUAAGUCCAAAAUGCAUGUCAUGAUCAUUAAGACUAGUUAUUGAAAAAAAACCCUUCCUUUUAUCCUUUCCGAUAGGGGCAUUUCUUGUUAAUACUGUUUCUUUGCAUCAUUGUGUCCUUCACUCUAAGUCAGUCCUUGUCAAAACAAGCAAGAAAAGAUUUCAAAAUUUGCUACCAGCUUUUCAGUUGCACAAAGUAAAUUUGGCCAACACACUCAGUUGUUACAGUCAAUAUACCUUGAGGAUUCAUGCAAAGGCUCCCCCAAAAGACUCUUGUCAACCUACUUGGCGCAAGCAGAGAUAACUGGUGAUUCUCUCUGACAGACAAAUUGUUAAAAAACAGAAAGUCGUUCAAGAUAUUGGAAAAGGUCACUUAAACAAAGAUUUGGGAUAAGGUUGAUUGAACCGCAAAUACAAAUGGUACUGAGUGUGAAACAAUCAGAAUUGGUGCAGAACAAAAGUCUUUUGAGACCGACUCUAGCUGAUUGAGCAGAAGCCAAGCUGCCCAAGACUUAAGGCCAUAAACCGACCACCAUUUUCAAAACUGACAAAUUUUUCUUUGUGUGAAACAGGAACAAAGCAGUGCAAGGAAUGUGGUUCAAAAAAAAUAAAAAAAAUAAAAAAAGAGAAAGAAAAGAAAAGAAAAGAAGAGCCAACAAAGGGAAGUUUCUCAACUCUUUGCUAUUGUGCAUAAAAUCUUGCCAUUGAUCUUCACAUUUUUCCUCCUAGGAUAAAAAGUCCUAGUCUGAUAGAUUUUCCUCCCAAUAAAAAUCUUAGUCUGAUGAAUUUUUCUCCUAAGAUAAGAAAACAUAGUCUGAUGAAUCUUUCUCCUAGGAUAGAAAUCUUAGCCUGAUGAAUUUUUCUCCUAAGAUAGUAAACCUAGUCUGAUGAAUUUUCUCCUAAGAUAGGAAACCUAGUCUGAUGAAUUUUCUUCUAGGAUCAAAAUCUUAGUCGAUGAAUUUUUUUUUUCUCAGAUAGAAGACCUAGUCUGAUGAAUUUUCUUCUAGGAUCAAAAUCUUAGUCGAUGAAUUUUUUUUUCUCAGAUAGAAGACCUAGUCUGAUGAACUUUACCUAGGAUCGAAACCUAGUGUGAUGAAUCUUUCUCCUAAGAUAAUAAAAAAGGGACCUAGUCUGAUGAAUUUUCUCCUAGGAUAAUUGAAAAAAGGGGCCAAUUUUUAGUUUUCUUAAGUUAUCAAUGUUUAGUUUUCUUGAAAUCAGGGGUCCCGCCUGGAGAAUAGGGUCAGUAUUUACUUUAGUCAAACUUAGUUUAUAGUUUUUCGCAAGCUCAAUCACUUUUAGGAGACACACAUCCUAGUCUAGUCAUUAAUUUUACUCUCAUCAUUACAUUCUUCAUCAGCAAAGUAGGUGAUUUAUAGUUUUGCUAACAACUUACAAAUCUUCCAAGUGCAAACUGGGGCAGAAAAGUUUCUUUUGUUUUGUCUGUUUUGUUAUAGUAGCAGGUGCCCACCUGGAGAACAAGGGAACUCAUUUCAGAGUCGUGCGAAGUUUCAAGUCACUAGCAGGCUCCCACCUGGAGAACAAGGGAAGUUAUUUCAGGAUUCAACUCAAGUUAGAAGUAGCAGAAGCUCGCGACAAGAAUGCGAGUCAAUAACCCGAGAUGACCAACAGAAGUAGUCUCAAUCCAAAAAAAGAGAAAAAAAGAAGUGAAUCCAAAAUGCAGAAGCAUGAAAAAGAUGUGAACUGAUCAAGACGUGGUUGAAGUCAUGAGCGCUACAUGUCCGGUCUUGAUCCAAAAGUUGAAGAAGAAUGAACUGGCACCUGCAGCUAGCAAGCGGCAAGGUUCAAAUCUAAAGUCUGCAUGAAGAACCAUUCAAGACUCAAGAUCAAGCUUCAGAAGACUCAUAGAUAGGAAUCUUGUAACUCGUAGCUGAUAGGCUUAGUUAGUCUUUUCAAUUUUGAUUUUUGAUGUAAUGAUAGGACAGCGGAUCGGAACCUCGACGGAAUGGAACCUCACUCGGCUCUCCACCUCGGUACACUCCAUCACCUCAUUCACUUCUGAACUACACGUGGCCUGAUUCCUUUAUAGCCAAGGAUAUGUAUGCAGCUCAAAUACCAGGGCUCAGUCACAUUCUCCUUACUCUUAGUUUUUAGUCUCUCCCAAAAAAGGGUCGGGUAAAAAAAACCCGUCUCGUCGUUCUUUGUCUGAAAAUUCUUCGUAUUUUCAGUCAAAGAGGAGCAGUUGUAGACAUGUAAUUUUUGAUCCUCCUCGAAAUUUUAUACAUUUUAACGUUUAAAUAUUUAGUUUAGGUCUAAUAUCGCUAUUUUCGCUAUUUUUAAACUUCUUCGGUUUAUUUUAUUUCAAAAACUAAAAACUACAAAAAAUAUUUUUCUUUAUGUUAGAUUAUUGAUAUUUUGUUUAGUUAGUUUUAUUUUAUUUUAUUUACAAAGGAUAAAAAGAGAAGUUAAAAAAAUAUUUUACUUGACUUAGUAUGAUUUUAAGUUGUACAUAUUUAGUAAAUAUUAAAUAGUAUUUAAAUUUCUUUAAUAUGAUUAUCUUGUCUUUCAUUUAAUUAUUCCCUAUUAUUUUAGAUAAAACUAGUAUUUAGGUUCAUCUUUAGAAUAGAAAAAAAUAAUAAAAAAAUAUAAAAUAAAAUAAAAAGAAUGAAAUGAUGAAAUGAAAAAUGAAAAGCAAACAAACAAAAGGAAAAGAGGCAAAGAAGAGAAGAACGUGAAAAGUGAAAAAUGUGGACCCUACCACCUUAUCUCUCCAUAACAAACCUCACAUGCACCCUAUUUUAAUUUGCCACUCACGUUUUUUUAGCACAUGGGGGGGGGGGAGGGCUGAAAAAAAAACAGAAUAAGGAGAGGGAGAGAGGGCACAAAAACUGGAAAGGGAUUUGGGGAACGAAAACCUGGGGAAAACGAAGGAAAGCAAAAAAAAUGAGAAAACCGAGGAAAAAAAGGAGAGCAAAAAUACAAGCUCACUCCUCUUCUUCCUCAUUAGUUCAUCACCAUUUUUAUACUGCAAAACCAAAUCUGAAACUUCCUUUUUCCUCCAUGAAAGUCCAGCCAUGAAAUCCCAACUCAAAACCAUCUAAGACUCCCACCAUUUAUAGCUGAAAAAUGCAACAAAAUAGGCACAAAAACAGAGCAAAGAACGGAGAACAAAAAUCUCCAGAAAAAUAGCCGCGACAACACCAAGAAAGGUAGCAAAAAUCAGCUGCAAAUACUGCAAAAACAACUCCAAAAUACCCGAAAUACCAGCUGAAAAUCUGCUCAAAUCCAUCCUCAAAACAACGGGAGACAACCCAAAAUAACUCUGAAUCACCAAUCCAUGUCAUGGAGUCGUUUUGGUUUCGUCUUCCUGAUCUAGUUUGAGUUUCUCAGGCGAGAUUCGAGGUUGCCGUUCCAGCUUUACAACGAGGCUUUCAUUCUUGGCUCGACGGUUCCGGCCCUGUGUGAUUUCAGUCAAGAUUUUUCGAUCGUGGUUCAAAAAAUCAGAUUCAAAACUUUAUUUUAGGUGGAAACCCAUUGAGGUCAAUUUCAUCACCACUUUCUUUAAUAAUGCAUGAUAUUUCGGUUCUCUGUUUAGUGCUUUUGGUUGAAUGAGUCUGCAUUUCUAAUGAGUUUGUCAUUGCUUUUUGAAUUAAUUUCCUAUGUCUACCUUUGUAGUGCUGCAUGUUAGUGAUGACUAUUGAAUUUAUUUAUAAAUGAAAAGCAUGACACAUAUGCAUGACUAGCUAUAUGUGAUUGUUGCUGUAAAUUGAGUCUGUCUUAUAGAAAAAAAUGAUACUGCACUGUCCAUUAUAAGUAAAUGUAAGAGAUCUAUAUUGAGUAUGGGAAGACAAAGUGUCUAGAGUAAUAAAUAUUCGUUGCCUUCAAUACAUGCAAUUGGAUGGAAAAUAGGACUUGUUUGGAAUCAUUUUUAAUUGUAUAAAUAAUUUUUUGCUAAUUUUGCUUUGUUUUUGUUUUGCACGAGUAUAAUAACGUGAGUUUAAAGAUGUUAGUGGUUCUUUUGAUAUUUCUCUCUUAAAUUGGAUUGCUCUUUUAUUUUCUUUACGUGUAAAAUGCUUCCAAAAACUUAGAUGUAUCAUGAUCUUGCUAAUUAAAUUUUACAUUUCAUCUGCAAUUGACUUAGCUUGCUUUAGGCGCGUUUUGAAUUUAUUAUCGUGAUUAUGUACACGUUCGC
rnacentral:lncRNA from 1 species